UUCUAUGUGUCCAUGGGACAGGUACAGCUUGAUAGUAGCAGUGUGAGCCUCCCCAAUGUUGUCCUCCAGUGUGCUUCAACCCUGCCCUGGAAGGAUUCAUUUUAGACUUGAGAA
rnacentral:sRNA from 1 species